AUACGUAGGGGGCGAGCGUUGUCCGGAAUGAUUGGGCGUAAAGGGCGCGUAGGCGGCCCGGUAAGUCUGGAGUGAAAGUCCUGUUUUUAAGAUGGGAAUUGCUUUGGAUACUGUCGGGCUUGAGUGCAGGAGAGGUAAGUGGAAUUCCCAGUGUAGCGGUGAAAUGCGUAGAGAUUGGGAGGAACACCAGUGGCGAAGCGACUUACUGGACUGUAACUGACGCUGAGGCGCGAAAGUGUGGGGAGCAAACAGGAUUAGAUACCCUGGUAGUCCACACUGUAAACGAUGAAUGCUAGGUGUAGGGGGUAUCGACCCCUUCUGUGCCGCAGUCAACACAAUAAGCAUUCCGCCUGGGGAGUACGGCCGCAAGGUUGAAACUCAAAUGAAUUGACGGGG
rnacentral:rRNA from 1 species